UUUAAAUCUUAGUUGAAGCCAAAAUAGAGGCUUA
rnacentral:tRNA from 1 species